GGCCGCGUGGCCUAACGGAUAAGGCGUCUGGCUUCGAACCAGAAGAUUGUGGGUUCGAAUCCCAUCGUGGUCG